rnacentral:rRNA from 1 species
UACGUAGGGUGCUAGCGUUGUCCGGAAUCAUUGGGCGUAAAGCGCGUGUAGGCGGUCCUGUAAGUCCGCUGUGAAAGUCCGGGGCUCAACCCUCGGAUGCCGGUGGAUACUGUCGGGCUUGAGUACGGAAGAGGCGAGUGGAAUUCCUGGUGUAGCGGUGAAAUGCGCAGAUAUCAGGAGGAACACCAAUUGCGAAGGCAGCUCGCUGGGACGUUACUGACGCUGAGACACGAAAGCGUGGGGAGCAAACAGG